GACAGAGGGUGCAAACGUUGUUCGGAAUUACUGGGCGUAAAGCGCGUGUAGGCGGCUAAGUAAGUCGGGCGUGAAAUCCCACGGCUCAACCGUGGAAGUGCACUCGAAACUGCAUAGCUAGAGUCCUGGAGAGGAAGGUGGAAUGCUUGGUGUAGAGGUGAAAUUCGUAGAUAUCAAGCGGAACACCGGUGGCGAAGGCGGCCUUCUGGACAGUGACUGACGCUGAGACGCGAAAGCGUGGGGAGCGAACCGG
rnacentral:rRNA from 1 species